CCUACGGGCGGCAGCAGUGGGGAAUAUUGCACAAUGGGCGCAAGCCUGAUGCAGCCAUGCCGCGUGUGUGAAGAAGGCCUUCGGGUUGUAAAGCACUUUCAGCGGGGAGGAAGGCGUUAAGGUUAAUAACCUUGUCGGUUGACGUUACCCGCAGAAGAAGCACCGGCUAACUCCGUGCCAGCAGCCGCGGUAAUACGGAGGGUGCAAGCGUUAAUCGGAAUUACUGGGCGUAAAGCGCACGCAGGCGGUCUGUCAAGUCGGAUGUGAAAUCCCCGGGCUCAACCUGGGAACUGCAUUCGAAACUGGCAGGCUAGAGUCUUGUAGAGGGGGGUAGAAUUCCAGGUGUAGCGGUGAAAUGCGUAGAGAUCUGGAGGAAUACCGGUGGCGAAGGCGGCCCCCUGGACAAAGACUGACGCUCAGGUGCGAAAGCGUGGGGAGCAAACAGGAUUAGAUACCCGGGUAGUC
rnacentral:rRNA from 1 species